rnacentral:rRNA from 1 species
AGAGUUUGAUUCUGGCUCAGGAUGAACGCUGGCGGCGUGCCUAAUACAUGCAAGUCGAACGAGGGUGCUUGCACCCUAGUGGCGAACGGGUGAGUAACACGUAGGUAACCUGCCCUUUAGUUGGGAUACCCAGAGGAAACUUUGGUUAAUACCGGAUAUGAAUUCGAGAGGCAUCUCUUGAAUUUGAAAGGAGCGUUUGCUCCGCUUUAGGAUGGACCUGCGGCGCAUUAGCUAGUUGGUGAGAUAACAGCCCACCAAGGCGAGGAUGCGUAUCCGAUCUGAGAGGAUGACCGGACACAUUGGAACUGAGACACGGUCCAAACUCCUACGGGAGGCAGCAGUAAGGAGUUUUCGGCAAUGGGGGAAACCCUGACCGAGCAACGCCGCGUGAGUGAUGACGGCCCUAUGGGUUGUAAAGCUCUGUUGUAAGGGACGAAUGAUGGGGUUAGGAAAUGAGCUCCAUUUGACGGUACCUUACCAGAAAGCCACGGCUAACUACGUGCCAGCCGCCGC